UAUAUUUGCACGCUGAUAGCAGAAUGUUAUCAAUACAUAAAAAUCAUUUAAAUAAUAUUGGAAUG
rfam:Aquimarina spongiae strain DSM 22623 genome assembly, contig: Ga0070582_113